AACGAACGCUGGCGGCAUGCCUAACACAUGCAAGUCGAACGAGACCUUCGGGUCUAGUGGCGCACGGGUGCGUAACGCGUGGGAACCUGCCCUUAGGUUCGGAAUAACUCCCCGAAAGGGGUGCUAAUACCGGAUAAUGUCUUCGGACCAAAGAUUUAUCGCCUUUGGAUGGGCCCGCGUUGGAUUAGCUAGUUGGUAGGGUAAAAGCCUACCAAGGCGACGAUCCAUAGCUGGUCUGAGAGGAUGAUCAGCCACACUGGGACUGAGACACGGCCCAGACUCCUACGGGAGGCAGCAGUGGGGAAUAUUGGGCAAUGGGCGAAAGCCUGAUCCAGCAAUGCCGCGUGAGUGAUGAAGGCCUUAGGGUUGUAAAGCUCUUUUACCCGGGAUGAUAAUGACAGUACCGGGAGAAUAAGCACCGGCUAACUCCGUG
rnacentral:rRNA from 1 species